rnacentral:lncRNA from 1 species
GAGCUAAUCGCAUCGGAUCGAGACCCCGACUGUUCGCCGGCCUCCCUACAGCAGCGGCGCUCGGUGCUUGGCAGCAGGUUUCAGGCGAGAAGCUCGCCUUGGUGCUCCACGAUCUGUUAAGUCGAGAGUGAGAGAGAUGUUGAGGGCUGAGCUCGUUGCCAGAGCAGAGGUCGAGAAGACAGACCGAUUUCAGGUUUCCGAGCAACGACCACUAACCGGAUUCUCAGAGACGACGGUGGUGAGUCGCCGGAUUUACAGAACCCACGGCCACGGCGGGAUUUUCUAGAAGGAGAUGAACUAGGGCUCGGGCUCUCCACCGAUGCUUCGAAUCGAGAGAGAGGAGACGAGGGAGCAGACCGGCGUCGGGAAGAACCGAGGCGACGACCGACUGGCUCGCCGGAUUGCGGGUGGCGGCGGCGGCGGAAGCCUCGUCUGAAGGCAGAUUGAGUUUGGGAGAGAUUGAGAGGAGAGGAGGCUGCGGGCGUGAGAUUGGGAGAGCUUAGAGAGAGAGACCGAGAUGUGAAGGAAUGGAGGAAUGGGCCUUUUCAAUUUAUUUUGCUAUUGGGCCUGUAUUAUUAAUAAAUCCCUUUCAUUUUUUUUAAGUGGGCUGAAACAAUAUAUAUUCUAUCCCCUUGGGCUUUAUUUAAAUCUUUG